rnacentral:SRP_RNA from 1 species
GCUGGGUGCAGUGGCAUGUGCCUGUAGUCCCAGCUACUCGGGAGGCUGAGGUGGGAGGGUCACUUGAGCCCAGGAGUUCUGGGCUGUAGUGUGCUAUGCCGAUCGGGUGUCUGCACUAAGUUUGGCAUCAAUAUGGUGAUCUCCCGGGAGCAGGGGACCACCAGGUUGUCAAAGGAGGGGUGAACCAGCCUGGGUCAGGAACAGAGCAGGUCAAAACUCCCGUGCUGAUCAGUAGUGGGAUCAUGCCUGUGAAUAGCCACUGCACUCCAGUCUGGGCAGCAUAGCAAGACCCCAUCUCU